AACGAACGCUGGCGGCAGGCUUAACACAUGCAAGUCGAACGGGUGCAGCAAUGCAUCAGUGGCAGACGGGUGAGUAACACGUGGGAACCUUCCUAGGGGUACGGAACAACUCAGGGAAACUUGAGCUAAUACCGUAUACGUCCGUGAGGAGAAAGAUUUAUCGCCCUUAGACGGGCCCGCGUCGGAUUAGCUAGCUGGUGGGGUAACGGCCUACCAAGGCGACGAUCCGUAGCUGAUCUUAGAGGAUGAUCAGCCACACUGGGACUGAGACACGGCCCAGACUCCUACGGGAGGCAGCAGUGGGAAUCUUGGACAAUGGGCGCAAGCCUGAUCCAGCCAUGCCGCGUGAGUGAAGAAGGUCUUCGGAUUGUAAAGCUCUUUGCCAGGGACGAUAAUGACGGUACCUGGAGAAUAAGCCCCGGCAAACUUCGUGCCAGCAGCCGCGGUAAU
rnacentral:rRNA from 1 species